rnacentral:rRNA from 1 species
AACGAACGCUGGCGGCAUGCCUAAUACAUGCAAGUCGAACGAUCACUUCGGUGGUAGUGGCGCACGGGUGCGUAACGCGUGGGAAUCUGCCCUUGGGUUCGGAAUAACAGCUGGAAACGGCUGCUAAUACCGGAUGAUGACGUAAGUCCAAAGAUUUAUCGCCCAAGGAUGAGCCCGCGUAGGAUUAGCUAGUUGGCGAGGUAAAGGCUCACCAAGGCUACGAUCCUUAGCUGGUCUGAGAGGAUGAUCAGCCACACUGGGACUGAGACACGGCCCAGACUCCUACGGGAGGCAGCAGUAGGGAAUAUUGGACAAUGGGGGCAACCCUGAUCCAGCAAUGCCGCGUGAGUGAUGAAGGCCUUAGGGUUGUAAAGCUCUUUUACCCGAGAUGAUAAUGACAGUAUCGGGAGAAUAAGCUCCGGCUAACUCCGUGCCAGCAGCCGCGGUAAUAC